rnacentral:rRNA from 1 species
CUAAUAGACUACCCGGGUACGUCCACGCCCUAAACGAGUGUCGAACGUAGCUGUUGGGGCUUCGGCCCUCAGUAGCGCAGCUAACGCGUGAAGUUGACCGCCUGGGGAGUACGGUCGCAAGAUUAAAACUCAAAGGAAUUGACGGGGACCCGCACAAGCGGUGGAUGAUGGUGGAUUUAAUUCGUAUGCAACGACGAAAAACCUUACCUACCCUUGACAUGUCUGGAAUCCUUUAGAGAUAGAGGAGUGCUCGCAAGAGAACCGGAACACAGGUGCUGCAGUCGGCUGUCGUCAGCUCGUGUCGUGAGUAGUGUUAGGGUUAACGUCCCGACAACGAGCGCUAACCCUUGUCAUUUAGUUG